rfam:Homo sapiens chromosome 9, GRCh38 reference primary assembly.
GCUGGGUGUGGUGACGCAUGCCUGUAAUCCCAGCUACUUGGGAGGCUGAGGCAGGAGAAUUGCUUGAACCCAGGAGGAGGAGGUUGUGGUGAGCUAAGAUCACACCACUGCACUCCAGCCUGGGUGACAGAGCAAGACCCCAUCUCAA